rnacentral:rRNA from 1 species
UACGUAGGUGGCAAGCGUUGUCCGGAUUUACUGGGUGUAAAGGGCGUGUAGCCGGGUUGACAAGUCUGAUGUGAAAGCCUUCGGCUUAACCGGAGUAGUGCAUUGGAAACUGGGAGACUUGAGUGCAGGAGAGGUAAGCGGAAUUCCUGGUGUAGCGGUGAAAUGCGUAGAUAUCAGGAGGAACACCGGCGGCGAAGGCGGCCUGCUGGACCGCGACUGACGUUGAGGCUCGAAAGCGUGGGGAGCGAACAGG